rnacentral:pre_miRNA from 1 species
CAACUACUCCCUCCGUCCGGAAAUACUUGUCAUCAAAAUGAAUAAAAGGAGAUGUAUCUAGAUGUAUUUUAGUUUUAGAUACAUUCCUUUUUGUCCAUUUUGAUGACAAGUAUUUUCGGACGGAGGGAGUACUAU